rnacentral:rRNA from 1 species
GCCUUUCAUCAUGGUGUCACUCAGGAAACGCCUGGGGAUUACAAGCGCAAGCUUAAAACCCAAAGGAUUUGACGGUGUCCCACCCGCCUAGAGGAGCCUGUUCUAUAAUCGAUGAUCCACGAUAUACCUCACCACUUUUUGCUCUUUCCAGCCUGUAUACCUCCGUCGACAGCCUACCAUUUGAAUGCUUCAAAGUAGGUUCAACGGGUCUCACCCACCAGCACGUCAGGUCAAGGUGCAGCCCAUAAAGUGGGAAGCAAUGGGCUACAAUUUCUAAGAUAGAACACACGAAAGACUACAUGAAACAUAGUCAUGAAGGCGGAUUUAGUAGUAAAAGAAGAUUAAUAAGCUUCUUUUAACAAGGCUCUGGGACGUGUACAAACCGCCCGUCACCCUCUUCAAUAACAUCUUCUUAGUUUCCUAACAUCUAACUAGUACAAUAGAAGAGGCAAGUCGUAACAUGGUAAGUGUACUGGAAAGUGCACUUGGUAAA